rnacentral:hammerhead_ribozyme from 1 species
AUCUAACUGACGAGUCUAACAUGGGACAAAACGCGCGUCCUAGAU